AUAACAAUGAUUCCCUCAGUAACGGCGAGCGAAGAGGGAUAAGCUCAAAUUUUAAAUCUGUUGGGUUACACCUAACAGAGUUGUAUUUUGAAGAAACGUUUUCUGCGUCCAGGAUUAGCCUAAAUCCUUUGGGAUAAGGUAUCAUGGAGGGUGAGAAUCCCGUUCAUGGUUAAUCUUAAGGAUGCUCUACGAUACGUUCUCCAAGAGUCGAGUUGUUUGGGAUUGCAGCUCAAAAUGGGAGGUAAAUUUCUCCUAAGGCUAAAUAUUGGCGAGAGACCGAUAGCGAACAAGUACCGUGAGGGAAAGAUGAAAAGAACUUUGAAAAGAGAGUUAAACAGUACGUGAAAUUGUUGAAAGGGAAACGAUUGAAGUCAGUCAUACCAACGGGAAAUCAACCUUUUGAGUUUGGUCUCGUGGGUUUUGAAGAGUUUAAAAGCCUUCGGAUUUUCGAGAUUGGGUUCUUCUGGUGUACUUUCUCGUACGGUUAGUCAACAUCGGUUUUGAAUGUCAUAAAAUGGCUGGAGGAAUGUGGCUUCGAUCUCGUAUUGAAGUGUUAUAGCCUUUGGUAGAUGUGAUGUUCGAGACCGAGGAUUGCAACGGAUACCCUUCUGGGCUAUUCGUCUGAUCUCUGAAACGUUGCCUUGAUGUUGAAAGCUUGCUUAUGAUGUUAGGGUAUUACGGUCAAAAGGUUAGAACGGAUUAAAUUUGUUAAGGAUGU
rnacentral:rRNA from 1 species